rnacentral:misc_RNA from 1 species
CCUGAACCAGUGAAGGAGGUUGUGGAAACGUUGGCUUCCGCAACUGAUGAUCUGGCUGCUGAUUUUUCUCAAAUUCGUGACUUCCAUGUUGGAAUACCUUAUGGUUUCUUUCUUUCCGUUGGUGGCUUCCUUUCCUUUAUGUUGACGGGCAGCAUUUCUGCUGUUAGGUUUGGUAUCAUUCUUGGUGGUGCUCUUUUGGCUUUAAGUGUAUUGAGUUUAAAAUCAUACAAAAAAGAAGUGCAACCACCUACUUCAAUCUUGAAAGGAGAGGCAGGAAUAACAGCUAUAAUCUUUCUUAGGGAGUUACUGUUGCUGUCUCGGAAAGCUUCUUUUUUGACCUUAUUCUCAACCGUCAUCAGUGGUGCAGUGGUUGCAUUCUUUCUAUAUAGAAUAAUAGUGAAUGGUAAGCUGAACAAAGGAUCAGACAUGGGACAAGGGGCUGAAAAUUGAUGCAUUUGUUCCAG